rnacentral:lncRNA from 1 species
UAUAUUCAUAAUAUACUUUUAUACAUGAGUAUUAUAUAAAUUAAAUUAAUAUUUAAUGUUUUAUAUUCUUCAAGGAAGGGCAUUAUGCUUGGUGUGAAGAUACCUUUAAAAUGGAGUGAGAUACUUGAAUAUCAGUUGUACUCAGGAAAGAAUCCCUCAAUGGCUAGUCCUGGUAAGUUUAUAUCCUUCAUAACAGAUGUGUCUAUAUAAUCUGUGUAUGUCUCUAAAGAAAAUGAACUUAGAAUCCAAAGGCGAUCUAAGUAAUUGUGUCUAUAGAUACAGUUAUUUUACUGUCUGUAGAUGGUAUGGUAUUUCCAGCCACCUCCACCAAUUACAGCAGAUUGAUCAAUGCCAUCUAUUCUACAGAGUCCUCUAUUUCUCUCUCUUCUGCCAUGUCUUUCGGCUAAAUGCAAAAAGAAAAAUUGAGAGAAAGAAGACUUACAAAUUUGAAUUUCCGUGUUUCCACUUUUCAUCCUUAUUUUACAGUCGAUUAAUGAGUCCAUAAAUGAACAUUUUGUUCUCCCCCAUGUUAAUUUAACUUUUGUUCUCCUCUGAUGUAAACUUUAAUUGUUUAAGUACUCUGUCUAGUUUUAUGACAAUUAUUGUUUUCAGUUUCACUUCAGUGAAUGUCUUCACUCAUACAUUUUAGAUUUAUUCAGUGAGGAGUUUGUCCACAGUAUACAUUCCAAAUAAGUAUUACUUUAGA